rnacentral:lncRNA from 1 species
AAAAGUAAACAGCACCCUCACCAAAAAAAAAUAAAAAAAUAAAAGCUUUAGCCACUUCAACCAAAAAAUUCCAAUCAGCCGCAACACCCCUUUUAAUAUUGAUCUUCCAAAACAGAGAUGCAAAAUCUAAAAAGAACACACACGCGCAAUGGAAUUGGGUACAAGGGGUCUCAUUUUGGCCAAAGCUUAAGGCAACAUAAAAAUUUUCCUUUUCGCUGCUUCCAUCUUUACAUAGACAAACAAACUAUUGUGAAACUGGGGCCCGAGAUUUCUUGAAGGAGGUGGGAAGUGGAAGUUAAGCUUGCGGUCUUGAGUGCUAUCUUAUCGAUUUGUGGUCGGGGUUCAUCGACACCGUUGCGCGGUUUUCUAUUUUUGAGUCAAUUUUGGGUUCAAAAUCAGUUGGUAAUUGUCUUUUGCAAUUCAUCCAUGAUUGUUCUACAAAUUUUUUCUCCUUAUUAGUGGAAAUGAUUUGAUCACCAAGAUCCAUUUCUGCCUUAUCCUUUUAUUCCUUGAUUUCGUCCAUGUGAUAUUUCAGUGAUAUAUUUGCGUGAGUUUGCGAUAUUCUUAAUUUGCAAUAUUCUGGAGUUGUGAUAAGUUUGUUAUGGAAUAAUACAUGGUAGUUACUUGUCUUUGUUUUUACCAUUUUUAUUGGGCAUU